GUUAUGUUCGCUCCCCUCGUUGCCCUAUCUGUUCGAAGCAGCUUGGUAGGAUAGGGCGGUGCCACCGAUGACUCAGGCGGCGGCGGCGGCUGAGUGGUCGGCGAGGAUGGCCGCUCGGGCGAGGAGGCGGAGCCGAUGACCCCGGCGGCGGCGGCGGAGGGGUCCCAGGGGCUGGAGGACAAACAUCUAAUGCGGUCGCGGCUUCUCGCCGUCAAGAGCUAGAUCGAGCGCACGGCGGUGGUAACCGUCCAAAGGAAGAGGAAGAGCAACCUGCACCAGUUCGGCGGCCGUAGCCGUCCAAGAGGCAGUUGACCGCCGAGGCAUCUCUAGUUCUCAUACAGCGCGGGUUUGACGGCCACUCCGGGAUCGGUCGUCCCAGCGAUAGGUGGAGGAGUUCAGCUAAAGGAGCCGGAGUACAGAGCAACAGGCCAAACAACUGAUGAACUUGUGACCUCAGUGUUUACACAAGGGAAUAAACAACUCACAAGCUGGCUGAGUUUCUUAUACAUGCAUUUCUCCUAGGUGAUAGCUGCUGAUCGUAGGUAUGAAAAAAGAUAGCUGCUGUCAAGAACUCCAAUGGCAUUGACAUAGCCAAGUUGAUGAAGCACUCGGCAGAGAACCGCGGGAUCAAGGGCUCCCACGGAGCCGACGCCGUCGACCCGACCUCGCUGCUGACGGAAGAUUGCGACGUGCUCCUCCCGGCAGCUCUGGGAGGAGUGAUAAACAAGGACAAUGCUGAUGCCAUCAAAGCAGAGUACAUCAUCGAGGCUUCUAACCACCCAACAGACCCCGAGACCGACGAGGCAAGAACACCAACAUUUUGCCACAAAACUAAGCUGCAUUUGUUGACACAUUUCACACAUUGACUGAGAGUAGAGAAAUGUACAUGUUCGUGGUGCGGAUUCUGGCAAAGAAGGGCAUGCUGAUCCUACCGGACAUCCUGGCCAACUCCGGCGGAGUGGUGAGCUACUUCGAGUGGGUGCAGAACAUCCAGGGGUUCAUGUGGGACGAGGAGAAGGUGAAUCGGGAGCUCAAGACGAGAGGCUGGCAUUUGACAAUACGAUUGUGUGUGUGCGUUGACAGAUGCUGCUGCAGCCUGUAGUUUUUCUUGUGGAGUCGACCGUAGUAAUCCAUCAAACUAGCUGAAUUAUUGAUUCUGUUCCUUUUGUUGGGAGGUGAGAUCAUAUAGAUAUACAUACCCGUCCUCUGUUGUGGUAUGUUAGUAUAGCAAGUGGUUUUCCACUGGCUAGUAGCACCAACAUAAUACGCCGGGCCCUCCAAGACCAGUUUUACUGCAGACGACCUUUUGGUGGUCAGGAUCUAAUCUGUCGAUCGUGUCCGCGAACCUUGAAGGCGUUCUCACCGUCUUGCGAAUGGGUGGAUGAAGAGGAAGCAGUACCGUUGUAUCGCACAGGCUAGGUGGGUGGUGGCACAGGCCAAGCGGCGGCGAGUCAGGCCCUGUUGACGUACGGUUGUUGCUGGGCGCUCCGAUUUUUAUUGUCCAGCUGUGCUAAUUCAUGUACCUGCGGGCGGUACCCAGGACGCCAAAUAAAUGAACAUUCCAACAUAAUCAUGUACGAGCCUGUUUAAACAAACUUACCGAUAUUCUUGGUUUUUAUUUCUA